rnacentral:piRNA from 1 species
UGAAACAACAGUUAAAUACUU